rnacentral:rRNA from 1 species
AACGAACGCUGGCGGCAUGCCUAACACAUGCAAGUCGAACGAGACCUUCGGGUCUAGUGGCGCACGGGUGCGUAACGCGUGGGAACCUGCCCUUAGGUUCGGAAUAACUCCCCGAAAGGGGUGCUAAUACCGGAUAAUGUCUUCGGACCAAAGAUUUAUCGCCUUUGGAUGGGCCCGCGUUGGAUUAGCUAGUUGGUAGGGUAAAAGCCUACCACGGCGACGAUCCAUAGCUGGUCUGAGAGGAUGAUCAGCCACACUGGGACUGAGACACGGCCCAGACUCCUCCGGGAGGCAGCAGUGGGGAAUAUUGGACAAUGGGCGAAAGCCUGAUCCAGCAAUGCCGCGUGAGUGAUGAAGGCCUUAGGGUUGUAAAGCUCUUUUACCCGGGAUGAUAAUGACAGUACCGGGAGAAUAAGCCCCGGCUAACUCCGUG